GGAACGGCUUGAUGCCAAGAGCUAUGUAGGUUUUCUAUGAAUGUAGGCAUACUAAAAAAUGACUACCUAAUCUACAUAGCUCUUGGCAUCAAGCCGUUCCCUGCUGCAAAUCCUGAAUGAAUUGCAUAAGGCUGUUUCUUACACCCUGGAAGAACUUUGACCAUAGUUUCCCUCCACAGGCUUAUCACAAAAUUUAUAUUUUUCUUCAACUAUCGUACAUUAAGCUUCCCUAGAGAAAACCAACAAACCUCGUUUUCUAGGAGGGAGGGAAACUUAAAAAUUGUCUCUAUCUUCAUCUUUCAUUAUUGUGUUU
rnacentral:misc_RNA from 1 species